UUAAGUUUAUUUACGAAAAAAGGCUUUCGCCCCGCUUUAUUAUAUAUAAAGCAACGAUCAACAACAACCCGGUACAAACGCACGCCAGCACAACACACACACACCCCCAAGGCAGGAUACAUAGGCGCUGAGCGCAACGGCACCACCCCUAGCACUACAAGAGCAACCGGGGGCUUCAACCGCGAACACGCCACCGCGAAGAGAUGAAGCCGCAUACGACGAACCGUGGGCUCCAAGGCGGUGCCUUCAGGAAGGUUACAACACCACACUUGUAGUCGACCAACAUUUGGCUACAGCAAUUCUUCUCUAUAAAUGGACAAAAGCCAUUUCCUUAAAAGCUAUAGAAGAGACAGAUUAAACCUCAUAGGGCUCGUCCCAUACUUCCAGCUCUAGAAUAUACUGGUAAUUAGUAUGUGCAAAAGCACGUUAAAUAUCUAUGAAGGGUACAAUAAAUGGCAGCCCAGUGCAUGUAGCUCCCGCUUGCGCAGGGUACGGGGAAGGGUCCGACCACUUUGGGUCUAUUGUACGCAGCCUUUCCCUACAUUUCUGCAAGAGGCUGUUUCCAGGACUUGAACGCGUGACCUCAUGGUCACAAGGCAGCAGCUUUACCACCGCGCCAAGGCUCCGUAUGAAGGGUACAAUACAACUUAAAAUUGGUAAUCUUCUAAAAGCAAAAAAUAUGAUAUGGAGAAAUAAAGACAUAUACAAACAAAGAUCUAGUACUCAUUCUUGAAACUACUACAUGAUACGUGCGAAGAUCAAGAGAGGAGCAGCAUUUGGAGAAAGCUACAGGCUGCAGGCGGCAGAUUCUCUAUUGAUGGGUUCCAGGUUCAUCCAUAGCCUUAAGAUAUAUUGUCCGUAGACCUUCAGAUCCUCAUCGCAUGGCUGGAGUGUAGUCACAAAGGGGUACGCAGAGUCACUUAAGCCGUCGUCUGAGCAUCGUCCGAUCUCCAUCUGCCGGCUAUGAUCAAAUCACUGUAGCGCACGCACUUACUGUACCUGUUCAUGUCGCUGUCAGGCUGCUUUUAUCUUCAGUGAACUUUUCCUCUUUAUAAAGACCUCAGAUCCCAUCGGGAGAGGCAUCGAAUGUAAACUGGGUUGUAACCCUGGCCGCCACUGGAGUGGUUGGCCUACUUUCCUUUUCUUGUAAGAACCCUAAUGAGUUUCCUCUGAAAUCAAGCAAGAAUUCCUCUGAAAUUCCAUGUGUUUGUGUUCGUCAGUUAGUUAGAGCUUAACAAUUGGUAAUCAGAGCAUACGGUUCUCGGCGGCGUAGUGGAUUUGGGGGAGUUUAGGAGCUUGCUCCAUUCCUAGAUCCCGGUGGCGGCGCGGCAACGGGUGGCGCAGGCGGCGGUAGAUUGCUCGAGUGCAGGCCUGGUUUGGGUAGUGGUUGCUUCAGAACUUCUUUGCAGCGGUAAAAUCUCACACACCCAUCCUCUCCGGUGCAUUAUUGGCGGUGGGCACAGGCGGCGGUGUUCGACGGUGGAAGAAACAGGAAGCGCAGGUCCGGUUGCCGCUUGUGGUUGUAAAAUCCCUCCCUCGCCCCCCCUGUUUGUGUUCUUUAUUCUGUUCGGUGCGAAAGCUUCCUGCUUUCAUAAACCCUGACGGAAUCAUGGCUCUCAACUCUAACUCUGCGGACACGGAUCUCCUCGAGCUCAAGUCCCUCCAGUUAGAUGUGCAAACACUCCAACAACAGCGAGCUGCAGAUCGCCAAGAAUUCAUCGAGUUCACCCACUCGGUCAAUCAAAAUUUUGCUGUUUUGCAAAGCAGUUUUUCCAAAGUUUAGUCGAGUUUGGAUGGUUUCUUCUCAAACCAACCGAAUCUGGGCAAACGCCUACUGACUGAAGGCCCUCCGGGUCCUCCUGAAAACCUACCAGUC